UGAGAACGUUCCCUGUAGUCAGAUAUAUCAAAACAUACGAGAUAUUAUCAGAAUAAAUGGUGCACAGCUUGCAUUGUACACCAGAUGAAAUCAACAUUAUCUAAAUAAACACAACCACGAGAUUCAUAAAGUGCAAUUUAUUUGGAAUCAGUGUCGCUUAAACAUCAUCACGUGACUGUGGUGUUUUAUACUGCGCUGGAUAAUGAGCUCCAAACACGCGAAACCCAAUGAAAAGGUUCCUGCAUGCUGCUGGAGAACAUGAGAAGCGCGCGGUGGAGAUAUGAACAUCGGCUGACGCGCGCGAGGUCUGUAAUGACGCGUCCUCAUCGUAUGGCUCCUCAUAACGUGUCAUAAGCGCCGCGAGGGGCUCCAUGUUUGAGCUCCACUGCUGCUGGAGUCAUGAGAGGCUCUGUGGACCUUCCUCCUGUCUCACUGUCUCAUCGCAAACUCUUGUGCACCCUCUGGUGCUUGCUAGACUCCAAAACUUCUUUGUGUUGCCUGCUUAGCAGAUUGUCUUCCUUGUCUCUGAGGCUGCUCAUUAUUCAGAGACAGCCGGAGCUCAGGUCAUCUGCAGCUGCCGUUCUGAAGAAGAAGAAGAAGAAGGAGGAGAAGAAGAAGGAGACGCGAGAGGGAAGAUGGCGAACAUCCUGCUGCUCUAGACCGGGAACAAGUUCGCAGAAGAUCCAGGAUCCAGCCGUUUCCCUGAUUUUCCAGGGAGUCCUAAGCGAUGGAAGUGCUGCAGUGUGAUGGCUGUGAUUUCCGUGCAGAAUCGAACGUUGAGCUCAAGGCACACAUAGAAGACGUACACACAGCCUUCCUGCAGCCUGCAGAAGUGGGAGAAGGUGACGGGUCACCCAGAAGAUCCAAGUCAAACUCACUGAACUCCCUCAGCCAAACAGAGGACGAGGAAGAUUUGAGCAAUCACAAUUACGACUCGUUGAAAAAGGAAGCAGGUAUAUCAACAUUUGUGAUUCAGAAAUAAUGACACAUUAGGAGUUUAAAAAAAACUACAACAGAAGAGCUAAACUUGUUUGAAAUAGUUUGUCCUUCUCUGUUCAUGUUUCAGGUAUUAAAUCCUUUAACAAAGACCUUGGGC
rnacentral:lncRNA from 12 species